rnacentral:rRNA from 1 species
CGGAGGCAGCAGUGGGGAAUCUUGCACAAUGGGGGAAACCCUGAUGCAGCGACGCCGCGUGAGCGAUGAAGCCCUUCGGGGUGUAAAGCUCUUUCGGCAGGGAAGAUUAUGACGGUACCUGCAGAAGCAGCUGCGGCUAACUACGUGCCAGCAGCCGCGGUAAUACGUAGGCAGCAAGCGUUGUUCGGAGUUACUGGGCGUAAAGGGUGUGUAGGCGGCCUGUUAAGUUCCGUGUGAAAUCUCCCGGCUCAACCGGGAGGGUGCGCGGAAAACUGGGGGGCUAGAGUACGGGAUGGGAGAGUAGAAUUCCUGGUGUAGCGGUGAAAUGCGUAGAUAUCAGGAGGAAUACCGGUGGUGUAGACGGCUCUCUGGACCGUAACUGACGCUGAGACACGAAAGCGUGGGUAGCAAACAGGAUUAGAUACCCUAGUAGUCG